rnacentral:rRNA from 1 species
CGCACGGUGAGUACACGUAUGCAACCUGCCUGCCACAGCCGGAUAAUCGGAGAAAUUCCGUCUAAUACGGCAUAAUGCAUCGGCGGGACAUCCUGUUGGUGCCAAAGGUUAAUUCCGGUGGCGGAUGGGCAUGCGUCGCAUUAGUUAGUUGGCGGUGUAACGGACCACCAAGACGACGAUGCGUAGGGGUUCGUGAGAGGAAGGUCCCCCCACACUGGUACUGAGACACGGACCAGACUCCUACGGAAGGCAGCAG